GCGUGCUGCAGAAGGGGCACAUAUACACGUGAGGACAGAGCACCCAGUGGCUCCUUUGGAAAUCCACUUCCACGCUCACCCCCAUUUUCAAUAUUGUGGAAAAUGCCAGCUAACAUCUUAACCUCACAUCUGUUUACAACAAAAAUUCAAACUUAAACUUCCGUAAUGGGAAUGUUUGUGAAACACAUGAAGAAACCAAAGACAAGAAAAACAGGAAGAAACCAGAAGUUACAUCAUUCAUGAAGGGUGAAAAUGUGAUGAACUUUUAUUGCCCCAAAGCACUAUAGGUCUCACUGUCGCCAAGGCUGGAGUGCAGUGGUGCCAUCACAGCUCACUGCAGCUUUGACCUCUGAGGCUCAGAAACAGGUUUCACCAUGUUGCCUAGGCUGAUCUCAAACUCCUGGGCUCAAGCGAGCCACCAGUCUCAGCCUCCUGAAGUGUUGGGAUUACAGGUAUGAGCCACCACUCUCAGCCUGCAGAAACUUUUUGCUAAAUCUCAGUCAGAGGAAAUAACCGAGUUCAAAUCCUAGUUUGGCUACUUUCGAGCUGUGUGAUUUUGGCUGAAUUAUUCACCCUUACAGUGUCUGUCUCAGUUUUCUCAUCUGUAAAAUGGGUCUAAGGAUUCCUUCAUAGGAUUAUGAGGAUUUAAUGAGAAAAAUGGAUAGCAAGGCCUAAAAGAGGAACUGGGAUAUAAUGAGGGCUUUAUAAUUGGUAGCAUUUUAUAUUUUUUUCUUUGGGACAAAGUCUCAUUCUGUCAUCCUAGCUGGAGUGCAGUGGCAUGAUUUUGGCUAACUGCAGCCUUGACCUCCCAGGGGGUCCUCCCACCUCAGCCUCUUGAGUAGCUGGGACCCACCAUCGUGCCCAGCUAAUAUUUGUAUCUUUUAUAAAGACACAGUUUUGCCAUG